rnacentral:lncRNA from 1 species
CAAGCUCACGGCCCUGGAGCAGAACAGAGGGAAGGAGCAGCUGAAGCGUGUGCAUGAGCAACCAGGACGUGUGCAGGAUCUCACACUGCAGCUCUCUAGCAACCCGUCAGAGUGCCCAUUGGAUGAUCUUCACGGUUUCGCUAUGAAGGAGCCCCAGCGUCCUCAGCUGAUGUGAUGCUGCAAAGGCCCAGCUGCCACGCCGGCUCGCUCUGCCCCGUCUGCCAAACCCUCCCCGAGCCGCCGGCCUCGCUCAGGACGGACCGAAAGGCAGAGAAACGAGACCGUGAAGGUACCACGCUGGAGGCGAAGGGCUUGGUGUGCCAAAGAACCAAGGGCAGGAUACGAACGUCUGUAAGGCACAAUUAG